rnacentral:rRNA from 1 species
CCCUUAGAUGUCCUGGGCUGCACGCGCGCUACACUGAUGUGUCCAGUAAGCACCUAACCUCUUCCGAAAGGAACGGGUAACCUUUGCAAAGCACAUCGUGAUGGGGAUAGAUUAUUGCAAUUGUUAGUCUUGAACGAGGAAUUCCUAGUAAACGCGAGUCAUCAGCUCGCAUUGAUUACGUCCCUGCCCUUUGUACACACCGCCCGUCGCACCUACCGAUUGAAUGUUUCGGUGAAGAUUCCGGAUAGGACUUUUUUGAUUUAUUUCAAUUUUGUCUUAAAAGCUAUCUAAACCUCAACAUUUAGAGGAAGGUGAAGUCGUAACA